rnacentral:rRNA from 1 species
GACGAACGCUGGCGGCGUGCUUAACACAUGCAAGUCGAUCGGAAAGGCCCUGCUUUUGUGGGGUUCUCGGGUGGCGAACGGGUGAGUAACACGUGAGUAACCUGCCCUUGACUUUGGGAUGACUUCAGGAAACUGGGGCUAAUACCGGAUAGGAGCUCCUGCUGCAUGGUGGGGGGUGGAACGUUUCGGCGGGUGGGGAUGGACUCGCGGCUUAUCAGCUUGUUGGUGGGGUAGUGGCUUACCAAGGCUGUGACGGGUAGCCGGCCUGAGAGGGUGACCGGCGACAUUGGGACUGCGAUACGGCCCAGACGCCUACGGGAGGCAGCAGUGGGGAAUAUUGCACAAUGGGCGGAAGCCUGAUGCAGCAACGCCGCGUGCGGGAUGACGGCCUUCGGGUUGUAAACCGCUUUCGCCUGUGACGAAGCGGGAGUGACGGUAAUGGGUAAAGAAGCACCGGCUAACUACGUG